GGACUGAGUGUGAAUACUCUACAUGGUUAUGGGCUUCUAUUUUCCCACUUUAUAUUGAAUGGAUAUGAAGACUUUAAAAUAAGAUUUUCUGUCUGCACAGAGGAUCCGUUGCUACUACUUAGAAGCCUAAUAAAUCCCAGAGAUGCAAAUAAUGAUCACUUAAUGAUUACUUUAUGAAAGUGUCUCCAUUGGGGAUUUUGGAGAGAAGAGGGAUGACGUUGUCAAGGAAGAGCUCCAAUAUUCCUGUGUCCAUGACUUAGUAACCUCUUGAUAGCAUGCCUUAAUAGUAUCCUAUCACAGUGUGAUUUAUUAAACAGUAGUAUGAGCUUAUAAUUCUUUAUAACUGGAUUGAAAGUGGUUAUUAAUAGAUAUGAUCACUUAGGAUUGGUUGAUGUUAUUGGUCACAUUUUCUAAAUUAUAAUGAUGGAUUUUGUUCAGGCUAUUGCAAUAAGGAGAACAUCCAGAUCCAAAAAUCACUGACUUAGCAGGAUGGUUUUGCCUUUGAUUGUUUUUUAAAAAUUUAUGUAUUUUCUUUGAAAGGCAGAAAGAGAGAGAGAGAGAGAGGGAGAAAAAGAGAUGGAUCUUGCAUCUGCUGGUUCAAUCCCAAAUGGCUGCAAUAGCUGGGGCUGGUCAGGCCGAAGCCAGGAGCCAGGAGCUUCUUCAGCUCUCCUCGUGGAUACCCAGGCCCAAGCAUUUAGGCCAUCUUCCACUGCUUUCCCAGGUGCAUCAGCAGGGAACUGCAUUGCAAGUGGAACAGCUGGGACUCAAACCAGUGCCUGUACGGGAUGCUGGCACUGCAGGCAGAGGUUUAGCCUUUUAUGCCACAGCAGUGGCCUCUUUGCCUUAGAUUUUUAUAUGGAAGGAUAAACAAAUGGCAGGUGGGGUGAUUUAUAUUUUGGGUUAUUUUCAUCGAAGAGGCAGCCAAUUAUCUGAAUAGAAAGUGUUUUUCUCUGUGCUUAGCUAGUUUCAAGGGGACAAAUGUUUCUAAACUUAUUCAAUGAUAGUUCUUUCUUACGUUUAACAUAAAUGAAAUGAUUUAUUUUUUAGAAAUUUUUAC